ACAUAUUUCGGCGGACUUUGCGUUUGGCUAUGCAGAGGAAGAAUCUUGCUGAAGGAAGAAUCUGGAACACUUAUGCUAGGGACAUAGCUAGACACGUUACUAAUUCUGGAAGAUUUCCCUAUUCUGGACAGAUUAUCUAACGAGUGAUCCAUCAGUGAGAGAAUCUUUAGAACCUUAGCUUCUAACAACUGGUGAAGUAUAAAACAGCAAGAAAGUGAGACAUUGCCGGUAAUUCCACAUCCAGCCUGCCAUUUAUUUCGUCAAUUGACGGCUCGCGAGGUUGCUGACUGGCAUUGCCGCGAGUAGGAAAUCCCUCUAAUCCCUGGGUCGGUAAAUGCUGACGACGAGUUCCGAUUCUAAUUGGAAACGCGUUAACCAUGGCCCAUCGAAAUCAACUACGUUUGAGUAAGGAACGAAACCCUUUCGACGGUCCAAUAAUACAAUGGAGCAGGCAACAGCCGCAGCAAGCGAGAAGUCCCAGUUGUGACGAAUUUCAUGGAUUUACGGAAGCAGAAUUGAAAAGAGGAAAGAAGCGUAAAUACGCUGUGGAGGGUAAUGAAAUGCCUGUAGGCUCACCGAUCAGGCGAUC